rnacentral:rRNA from 1 species
UAGAUACCCUGGUAGUCCACGCUGUAAACGAUGAUGACUAGAUGUUGGGGGAGUUGACCCCCUCAGUAUCGCAGCUCACGCAAUAAGUCAUCCGCCUGGGGAGUACGGCCGCAAGGCUAAAACUCAAAAGAAUUGACGGGGGCCCGCACAAGCGGUGGAGUAUGUGGUUUAAUUCGAAGCAACGCGAAGAACCUUACCUAGGCUUGACAUAGUGUGAAUCUGGUAGAGAUAUCAGCGGCCCGCAAGGGACACAUAUACAGGUGCUGCAUGGCUGUCGUCAGCCCGUGUCGUGAGAUGUUGGGUUAAGUCCCGCAACGAGCGCAACCCUUAUCCUUAGUUGCCAUCAUUAAGUUGGGUACUUUAAGGAGACUGCCGGUGAUAAACCGGAGGAAGGUGGGGAUGACGUCAAGUCCUCAUGGCCCUUACGUCUAGGGCUACACACGUACUACAAUGGCCAAAACAAACCGAUGCAAAGCAGUGAUGUGGAGCAAAUCGGAAAAACAUGGUCUCAGUUCGGAUUGUGGUCUGCAACUCGACCACAUGAAGUUGGAAUCGCUAGUAAUCGUAGAUCAGCAAGCUACGGUGAAUACGUUCCCGGGCCUUGUACACACCGCCCGUCAAACCACGAG